rnacentral:misc_RNA from 1 species
UGAAUUUUAUGUCAUAUCCUGUUGUAUUUUUUAUAUUUUUUUAUGUUAAGGAACGCCCUAUGUUCCUAAAUCCAUCAUUUCUUCAUUUCUUUCUACUUUAAAUCUAGAAUUAUGAACUAUCUUUAGAAUUUUGUUGGCAAUGAUUCCAAAUGUGGUUUGCCUUUUUGUUUUAUUGAUUAAUCUACUGACACAUUCAUUCAUCGACUCUUUUUGUUUGUCUCUCUUUGUUGAACUGCAAUGCCUAGGUUAUUACUAUUUCUUAUGGCCUUCUAAAUUUUCGAUUUUUCCCCGGCUUUUAUAAACCAAAAUACUGUGCUAUAUCAAAUCAAAUGAAUAAGCUUAUUAUAAAAGCCAAGAGCUGAAGUGACGCCAUCCGGGGUAUUCCCGUGCAUUUACGAAACAAAAGUUUGGAAAAUGAAAUAUCGUUUAUAUUUGUGAAGAAAAAAGCUUCUCCAGUACUUUUUGGCACAUNAUUUCCAAUCUUUUAUAUACAAAUAUGCAUUAAUAUGAUUUGGAGGGUUUACUAUGGUAAGUCACGAUUUACGUAUAUAGGAAGCGUGACUCAUGCAUUGCACGUGCAUUUUGAACCUUGAAAAUAACAUCACGAUGAGCCGAAUUUCAUCACAUUUAUUACGAUCCAUUGGUGGUAUCAACUUGCAUGUUUUCGAAAUCGUAGCUCACGCUUUUGAAUGUUGAAAUCUCUGUAACAACUAGUUUGUUUGGAUUGCAGAACCGGGUUUUCCCGACAAUGAAGUUUGCAGAAUUACAUUUUUUUNAAUAUUUUUUUUACUAAACUGUACUCAUUAAACUUGCCAUCAUUCAAGUUUGUCCUGAUUCAAAUGCUUGUCCAAAAUCAUGUCCAAAAUCAUGUAUCUUUUACUGAUACGUGACUGCAUUAUUAAAAAUAUCUCAAUGACUGAAAUAUCAGACUUACCACUUUGUUUUACGUCACUGACAUUUGUUGAAAAGGGUAAAGUCCGAGUGUCAACUUUAUUUGCUUUCUCUAAAUAUGGUGAUCGGAUGAUACCAAGAAACUCUCCUUACAAAAUACAAGAACAAAAGGCUUAGGCUUUUAUCACACAGCAAAUGAAAUUUGACUCUAAUAUUGGUAAAAAUGAUCACUGUACCUUUGAUUUUGAAUGGUUUUCCCAAAUAAGGCUUUGGAGUCAGAAUUGCAAAAUUCAAAUAUACAUUCUUUGAACAAACUUUUACAAUUUUUGUGUGGAAAAGUAGUCACAAUCGUUUUUGCGAUUUAGUGAUGUUGGAUAGCUGUGUGAUAGUGUGCUAGAACAGCAGGUUAGGAAUUUAGUUUAAAACAAGUGGCUUUGUGUGAGAUNUUGUGAGAAUUUUUUCCCUGCUUUNGUUCCUUCCUUGUCAUGCAAAGCUGCUACCAGUUCAAUUGGAGACAUGAACAAUUUGGUAGAAGAAAUUCCCAGAGAUAUACAGUGUAUUUAUGAUUGAGGCACAUUUGUGAAAAUUUGACUUUAUUUCUUUAUUUCUAAAAGUAUUGUUGGAUGUCUCCAGUUACAAUUCAGCUGAAUAGUAAAAAGGUCUGUUUUGCAUAGAUCCCAACCAAAGUCCCUACUGAGGUUUUCACUGUCCCNACAAAGCUAGCAUCAUUCUUAAUAGUUGUAGUGUUAACACUUUGGGUGGUUUGGUGCAUGACGAUAUGGUAGGACAGUAAUCAUCCACAUUAUUUUAGUCUAUUACUUUUAUAAUUUGGUUGGUUUUCUUGUUACCUAAAAAANUAAAUAAUAAAUAAAUUUUAAAAAUGGNCAAAACAAAGUAAAUCAAAAACUUUCAAUUGUGUUUUUUUUACUUUCCUAUCAUUUUGAUAUCCUGGGAAACAUGAAAAACAGGAAGCCCCAAAACUGAGGUUUUGGACAACCUUUUCAUUAUAGCCAUGUUGAGUGACAAAGCAACAGCAUCUCAUUCUCAGAAGAAUCAAAUUCUGUUUGAAAUGUUUCUGCCAUUCAACAGGGCUGCAGCCCCUCUCAAAAGUGUACUGUAGAAGUAUAGAUAGAAAAAAACUAGAAAAGCACGUAGACAGCAUAGCAUAGCAUUUUGUUAUGUAUGCAUUAAUAUGUCCAAGGACGUCUUACACAACAGUGCUGAUGCAGCAUCUAUUCAGUGAAAUGUUCUAGAUGAUGCCAAGGUUCCCACAUCCAUUAUGAGGCUCCCUUAUAGAAAUAGAUGAUCAAACUGUAAAGAAAUUUAUUGAUGAAGAGGACUUUAUCAUAUCUUUGGACUAUGACAGCGCUGAAGGAACCUGUAAAAUCACUCUAAGCCGCCCCCCUUCCAGAUGAC